UCGGGAGGAAGUUAAUUCUCACUGUACUUGAAGAGGCUUUACAUAAAGGGUUCUCUCUCAUCCCAAGACUGCUAAUUUAGUGAUUCUGUGAGUCACUGUGUGCAUACCCCAUAACCUUUCCUUGGGAUUGCCCCUAUCCCACACUAUGACAUCAGAACUUUUUUUAUUAUUGUUUUAUAUUUGACCAAAAUAUUCUGGUUUAGAUACAGAUAUUUACAGAAAGUAGGGAGGAAGGGGACCAAGCCAGAGAGGGACAGGUAUAUGUACAGGGCUGAGCUGCAGAGGGCUACAACUUCCAUAUAAGGUAGGUUUUUUUGUGGCUGUUUUCCAUUGCAUAUGAAAAUGUCCAUUUCUGGUGUGUGCAGACAUGGUGGCCAUUGCCCACCCAGGUACCAGCAGCAGAAGACUGUCUGACUUGGAAAGAAUGGGGGUUUACAGGAGUCCAGGAGGUCCUUUCCGCUCUCCUAAGAGCCACACCUGGUGAAUACUCAGUAAACAUUUGCGGAAUGAAUGAACACCCUCUCUGCAGCAGGACAUGGACAAAUAGGCUCUGCCAUCAGGAAAUGGGAAGCAAGAAAACAGUAACUCAAGAGGACAGAGGCUGGUGAGGAGGUAAAGCAGGCCCAGUGAAAUGGACCAGACAGCCCAAA
rnacentral:sRNA from 1 species